rnacentral:rRNA from 1 species
UACGUAGGUGGCAAGCGUUGUCCGGAAUUAUUGGGCGUAAAGCGCGCGCAGGCGGUCCUUUAAGUCUGAUGUGAAAGCCCACGGCUCAACCGUGGAGGGUCAUUGGAAACUGGGGGACUUGAGUGCAGGAGAGAAGAGUGGAAUUCCACGUGUAGCGGUGAAAUGCGUAGAGAUGGUGGAGGAACACCAGUGGCGAAGGCGACUCUUUGGCCUG